CUCGGUGAUUUAAUUAUGUGUGUCCCACCCGAUUCCAUUCCGAACUCGGUAGUGAAAUCAUAUAAUUCCGAUGAUACUCUAAAUGUGGGGAAAGUAGGAUUUGCCGGGA
rnacentral:rRNA from 1 species